rnacentral:rRNA from 1 species
CGUAUAUUAAAGUUGUUGCAGUUAAAAAGCUCGUAGUUGGACCUGUGCAUGUCCCUAGGUGUCCAUAUUGUUUGGUACGUUCUAGGGCGUGCAUCCUUGGGUGGAACCUGUGUGGCAUUAGGUUGUCGUGCAGGGGAUGCUCAUCGUUUACUGUGAAAAAAUUAGAGUGUUCAAAGCAGGCUUAUGCCGUUGGAUAUAUUAGCAUGGAAUAAUAAGAUAGGACCUUGGUACUAUUUUGUUGGUUUGCGCACCGAGGUAAUGAUUAACAGGGACAGUUGGGGG